UACGUAGGUGGCAAGCGUUGUCCGGAUUUACUGGGCGUAAAGAGCGCGCAGGCGGUCGUUCAAGUCGCGUGUGAAAGCCCCCGGCUCAACUGGGGAGGGUCACGCGAUACUGAUCGACUCGAAGGCAGGAGAGGGUAGUGGAAUUCCCGGUGUAGUGGUGAAAUGCGUAGAUAUCUGGAGGAAUACCGGUGGCGAAGGCGGCAUCCUGGACCGGCAUUGACGCUGAUGAGCGAAAGCGUGGGGAGCAAACAGG
rnacentral:rRNA from 1 species